GGCGAGAUGGCCGAGGGGUCUAUGGGGGUGAUUUAAGGCACCAGUCUCUUCGGAGGCGUGGGUUCGAAUCCCACUCCCGUCA
rfam:Toxocara canis scaffold473, whole genome shotgun sequence.